AGCAGCAGCCAAAGAAAAGAAGAAAAGGCUGCAGGAAGCACACUACUGGGCUGAAGACCGUGUUGUUGACUUUACACUCAGGCGUAGCAGCUUCAACUCUCAGGAAUGGGCCUGCAGGGACACAACGACUGAGACAGCCUUCAGAUUUCCCUCCACAUUCAGUUAGAAA